CCUACGGGCGGCAGCAGUGAGGAAUAUUGGUCAAUGGCCGGAAGGCUGACCCAGCGAUGCCGCGUGAAGGUCAGUGCCCUAUGGGCGUUAAACUUCUUUUGUGCGGGAGCAAUAAUGGUCACGUGUGGCCAGACGAGAGUACCGUACGAAUAAGCAUCGGCUAACUCCGUGCCAGCAGCAGCGGUAAUACGGGGGAUGCAAGCGUUAUCCGGAUUUAUUGGGUUUAAGGGGUGAGUAGGCUGUGAGGUAAGUCAGCGGUGAAAUGCCCCCGCUCAACGGGGUGAAGUGCCAUUGAUAGUGCCUUGCUGGAAUGCGGAUGCCGUGGGAGGAAUGUGUGGUGUAGCGGUGAAAUGCAUAGAUAUCACACAGAACACCGAUUGCGAAGGCAUCUAACGAAUCCGCGAUUGACGCUGAUGCACGAAAGCGUGGGUAUCAAACAGGAUUAGAUACCCGUGUAGUC
rnacentral:rRNA from 1 species